rnacentral:rRNA from 1 species
CAUGGGUAGCAAACAGGAUUUGGUACCCUGGUAGUCCAUGCUUUAAACUAUGAAUAUUAAAUAUUUAAAUUUGAUAUUAAAGUUAACACGUGAAAUAUUCCGCCUGGGGAGUAAAACCGCAAGGUUGAAACUCAAAGGAAUUGACGGGAGCUUAUACUUACGGUGGAGCAUGUGGUUUAAUCCGAAAGUCCGCGUGGAAUCUUACCAAUUUUCGACAAUUUAGAAUUAAAAAUCUAAUACAGGUGUUGCAUGGCUGUCGUUAGCUUAUGUUUUGAAAUUUAAGAUAUAAGUAGAACCCUUAUUUUAAUUUGGCUAAUAUUUAAAAAUUAAAAUUUUAAUAAAUUUUAUAUUAAAUAUGCACUAUUAAAUUAAGUAUAAAAUUUUAAAGAUUUUAUAAAAGGAUGAAGAUAGGUCGUCAUGACCCUUAUAAAUU